ensembl:lincRNA Gm30340 predicted gene, 30340
GAGGGGAUGGAGGACACCAGGAGAUCAAGGCCCUCUACAUCAACUUGAGCAAAGUUAACAUGAACCAGAGACUGAAAGAGCAAGCACAGGGCCUGCGAAGGUCCACUAUAAUUGAGAAAAAAAAUAACCAAAGUGUAUGGUCUGAAUAUGGCUUUGAUGUUCUCAUUCACCCUUUCUGAAGAGAAAGGCAUUUGUACCACAGGAACCUGACAGCAAUUGUUCUGAUUCAUGGCUUAGGAGGAGCCGCUGAUUAAUCCCUUGUCAGCAGGCUUGACCCUGUGUGGAAAACAGAAUCUUCGAAGGCCUACUCACCAAUAUAUCAGGAGCAAGGCGGCAUGGCUUACAUCGCUCUUAAAUUCAAGGAAAGUUUAAGACAAUGCCAAGCAGCAAUCCUGAUUCUAGAAAUGCUUUAUAGGAACAUUCUGAGACAGAACAGAAAUGUUCCAGGGAGAAGAGCUGAACAAUUGUGGUUUUGUUUUUUAAAAAAAAAUCACUAUUUUCUUUAUCAUAACUAUUGUAUCUGUAUUUUGAUAUGAUAUGACCUGUUUUGGGAAUUUUAAAUCAUUCCGUUUCCUUCCCUCUUUGAUGAGUAUAGACACUGUGAACAUAGAACUCUAAUUUGUACAUAGUAUAAAAUAAUUGAAAAUAACUUCUAUUUCUAGAUUCAUCUUUAUGUGACACAUUCAGCUGUGAACAAUAUUUAUAUUAUAUAGUUUAAAACACAAAUAUUACUACUGAAAACCAUUUUAGUUCUUGAAAUGACAAAAGUCCUAAAUUGAACACAUUGCUACUUUUAAUCAAGAAAAAAAUAUCUUAGUAAUGUAAAAUAUGGUCUCGGAACAUAUGAUAAAAGUAAAGAGAUGAAGUGGGAUCAUGUCCCCCUUUUUUUCCAAAAAGGACCAUGUACAGGAAUCCAAUAUUUAUGAAUGUUAUUUUCAAGCACAAAGCAGACUGAAAAUCUGUCAAAUGACGUGAAAUCCUAAAAGAUGCAGGGUGUUAAGAGAAGGUGGCCACCAAGGACAAAUCAAGUCUCAAAAUAAAAACUAUGCACAAUAAGAAAACAAAAGAGAGAGAGAGAGAGAGAGAGAGAGAGAGAGAGAGAGAAGACCCAUCUACGAUAACCAGAGGAAGCUGAAAUGUGCUGAAACCUUUCCCUUGUAAACUGCAUAAUAGCACUUUCAAUGUUCCCUUUCUGUCAUCCCCUGUAACCAUCAAGUUCGGGUUCUGCUGCUGCAGUCGGGAGUACGGGGGGUACGGAGCUCUUACGGUUGGCUGCAUAGAAUGCUGAGGAAAGCCACAUCUGUACCAUUUUUUUCUCUUGGACAGUAAUAAAUAACAAUUUGAGUUCAUUUAGAUUUUUUUUUUCCCUGAGUAUAUUUACAGCAAGUUAUUCAGGUUUUUCUUUUUUUCUUAUCCUCUUAAAGCAUAGGUUUAAUUUUGAGUGCAUCUUUCAUUGUGAGAGUGUAGACCUUUGAUCGAGUGACAUUUGCAUUUCAUUAUGGGGAAGCGCUUUACAUUCUCUUCAUAUGCACCACCCAGUUCCAUGUAUCAUCUUGGUUUGUGCUAGUCACUAUUUAAAACACUGGCUACCAAGUGUGGCUUUGUUGACAGAAUCUGUAUGUUCUGUGCAGUAGAAAGCAGAAGAGAACAAGGGGAAAUUUAAAAUGAAUAGCUCCUUUGAAAGAAAUAUAGUUUUCAUAUGAUUGUUUUCAAUACGGUAUUCUCAGCGACAGAAUGCAAUGUCAUCAUCUAAAACGUAACGUGUUCAGAUUGGCCGUAUCUCAUCAUUUAUUUCUUUUCUAAAAGAGCAAAUGGGAUGUAUUUUUAGGUGUUUCUUUGUGCAAGGUCCUGACAAAUCCUGUUGGUAUGGCAUUAGAAAUAAUAAUGAAAUGAACUGUAGGUAAUGGUAUAACUCUCAGAAAGUUUUUAAAUAUGAGGCUGUGAAAAUGUGUCCUUUGAAGGAUCAGCAAGCCUGUGGCAUUGUCUGUGAAAAUGGAAAGAAUUGAUAAGGCUUCUGUGCGUAUGAUCUUUAUCAGGUUUGCAAUGAUUCCUGUUUUAUAAGGUAACAUAUUUUUAGCCUUGUUGCAGAGAGAAAUGUUCUGUUUUACCUCAGAAAUCUGGCAGAAAACCAUUUUUCG